CCUACGGGUGGCAGCAGUGAGGAAUAUUGGUCAAUGGCCGGGAGGCUGAACCAGCCAAGUCGCGUGAGGGAAGACGGCCCUACGGGUUGUAAACCUCUUUUGUCAGGGAGCAAGGUGCAGGUCGGGACCUGCUGUGAGAGUACCUGAAGAAAAAGCAUCGGCUAACUCCGUGCCAGCAGCCGCGGUAAUACGGGGGAUGCGAGCGUUAUCCGGAUUUAUUGGGUUUAAAGGGUGCGCAGGCGGGGGCACAAGUCAGCGGUAAAAUCGCGGGGCUCAACCCCGCUCCGCCGUUGAAACUGUGUGCCUUGAGUGCGCGAAGGGUAGGCGGAAGGCGUGGUGUAGCGGUGAAAUGCAUAGAUAUCACGCAGAACCCCGAUCGCGAAGGCAGCCUACCGGCGCGCAACUGACGCUCAUGCACGAAAGCGUGGGUAUCGAACAGGAUUAGAUACCCCUGUAGUC
rnacentral:rRNA from 1 species